rnacentral:rRNA from 1 species
AUUGAACGCUGGCGGCAUGCCUUACGCAUGCAAGUCGAACGGUAACAGGUCUUCGGAUGCUGACGAGUGGCGAACGGGUGAGUAAUACAUCGGAACGUGCCCGAGAGUGGGGGAUAACGAGGCGAAAGCUUUGCUAAUACCGCAUACGAUCUCAGGAUGAAAGCAGGGGACCGCAAGGCCUUGCGCUCACGGAGCGGCCGAUGGCAGAUUAGCUAGUUGGUGGGGUAAAGGCCCACCAAGGCGACGAUCUGUAGCUGGUCUGAGAGGACGACCAGCCACACUGGAACUGAGACACGGUCCAGACUCCGACGGGAGGCAGCAGUGGGGAAUUUUGGACAAUGGGCGCAAGCCUGAUCCAGCAAUGCCGCGUGCAGGAUGAAGGCCUUCGGGUUGUAAACUGCUUUUGUACGGAACGAAACGGCCCUUUCUAAUACAGGGGGCUAACGACGGUACCGUAAGAAUAAGCACCGGCUAACUACGUGCCAGCAGCCGCCGUAACAC